rnacentral:rRNA from 1 species
GGGUUGUGAGGUUAAGCGACUAAGCGUACACGGUGGAUGCCCUGGCAGUCAGAGGCGAUGAAGGACGUGCUAAUCUGCGAAAAGCGUCGGUAAGGUGAUAUGAACCGUUAUAACCGGCGAUGUCCGAAUGGGGAAACCCAGUGUGAUUCGUCACACUAUCGUUAACUGAAUACAUAGGUUAACGAGGCGAACCGGGGGAACUGAAACAUCUAAGUACCCCGAGGAAAAGAAAUCAACCGAGAUUCCCCCAGUAGCGGCGAGCGAACGGGGAGCAGCCCAGAGUCUGAAUCAGCUUGUGUGUUAGUGGAACGGUCUGGAAAGUCCGACGGUACAGGGUGAUAGUCCCGUACACCAAAAUGCACAGGUUGUGAACUCGAAGAGUAGGGCGGGACACGUGGUAUCCUGUCUGAAUAUGGGGGGACCAUCCUCCAAGGCUAAAUACUCCUGACUGACCGAUAGUGAACCAGUACCGUGAGGGAAAGGCGAAAAGAACCCCGGCGAGGGGAGUGAAAAAGAACCUGAAACCGUGUACGUACAAGCAGUGGGAGCACCUUCGGGUGUGACUGCGUACCUUUUGUAUAAUGGGUCAGCGACUUAUAUUCUGUAGCAAGGUUAACCGUAUAGGGGAGCCGCAGGGAAACCGAGUCUUAACUGGGCGUUAAGUUGCAGGGUAUAGACCCGAAACCCGGUGAUCUAGCCAUGGGCAGGUUGAAGGUUGGGUAACACUAACUGGAGGACCGAACCGACUAAUGUUGAAAAAUUAGCGGAUGACUUGUGGCUGGGGGUGAAAGGCCAAUCAAACCGGGAGAUAGCUGGUUCUCCCCGAAAGCUAUUUAGGUAGCGCCUCGUGAAUUCAUCUUCGGGGGUAGAGCACUGUUUCGGCUAGGGGGUCAUCCCGACUUACCAACCCGAUGCAAACUACGAAUACCGAAGAAUGUUAUCACGGGAGACACACGGCGGGUGCUAACGUCCGUCGUGAAGAGGGAAACAACCCAGACCGCCAGCUAAGGUCCCAAAGUCAUGGUUAAGUGGGAAACGAUGUGGGAAGGCACAGACAGCCAGGAUGUUGGCUUAGAAGCAGCCAUCAUUUAAAGAAAGCGUAAUAGCUCACUGGUCGAGUCGGCCUGCGCGGAAGAUGUAACGGGGCUAAACCAUGCACCGAAGCUGCGGCAGCGACACUAUGUGUUGUUGGGUAGGGGAGCGUUCUGUAAGCCUGCGAAGGUGUGCUGUGAGGCAUGCUGGAGGUAUCAGAAGUGCGAAUGCUGACAUAAGUAACGAUAAAGCGGGUGAAAAGCCCGCUCGCCGGAAGACCAAGGGUUCCUGUCCAACGUUAAUCGGGGCAGGGUGAGUCGACCCCUAAGGCGAGGCCGAAAGGCGUAGUCGAUGGGAAACAGGUUAAUAUUCCUGUACUUGGUGUUACUGCGAAGGGGGGACGGAGAAGGCUAUGUUAGCCGGGCGACGGUUGUCCCGGUUUAAGCAUGUAGGCUGGUUGUCCAGGCAAAUCCGGAUAAUCAAGGCUGAGGUGUGAUGACGAGGCACUACGGUGCUGAAGUAACAAAUGCCCUGCUUCCAGGAAAAGCCUCUAAGCAUCAGGUAACAUCAAAUCGUACCCCAAACCGACACAGGUGGUCAGGUAGAGAAUACCAAGGCGCUUGAGAGAACUCGGGUGAAGGAACUAGGCAAAAUGGUGCCGUAACUUCGGGAGAAGGCACGCUGGUGUGUAGGUGAAGUCCCUGCGGAUGGAGCUGAGACCAGUCGAAGAUACCAGCUGGCUGCAACUGUUUAUUAAAAACACAGCACUGUGCAAACACGAAAGUGGACGUAUACGGUGUGACGCCUGCCCGGUGCCGGAAGGUUAAUUGAUGGGGUUAUCCGUAAGGAGAAGCUCUUGAUCGAAGCCCCGGUAAACGGCGGCCGUAACUAUAACGGUCCUAAGGUAGCGAAAUUCCUUGUCGGGUAAGUUCCGACCUGCACGAAUGGCGUAAUGAUGGCCAGGCUGUCUCCACCCGAGACUCAGUGAAAUUGAACUCGCUGUGAAGAUGCAGUGUACCCGCGGCAAGACGGAAAGACCCCGUGAACCUUUACUAUAGCUUGACACUGAACAUUGAGCCUUGAUGUGUAGGAUAGGUGGGAGGCUUUGAAGCGUGGACGCCAGUCUGCGUGGAGCCAACCUUGAAAUACCACCCUUUAAUGUUUGAUGUUCUAACGUUGGCCCCUUACCGGGGUUGCGGACAGUGUCUGGUGGGUAGUUUGACUGGGGCGGUCUCCUCCCAAAGCGUAACGGAGGAGCACGAAGGUUAGCUAAUCCUGGUCGGACAUCAGGAGGUUAGUGCAAUGGCAUAAGCUAGCUUGACUGCGAGCGUGACGGCGCGAGCAGGUGCGAAAGCAGGUCAUAGUGAUCCGGUGGUUCUGAAUGGAAGGGCCAUCGCUCAACGGAUAAAAGGUACUCCGGGGAUAACAGGCUGAUACCGCCCAAGAGUUCAUAUCGACGGCGGUGUUUGGCACCUCGAUGUCGGCUCAUCACAUCCUGGGGCUGAAGUAGGUCCCAAGGGUAUGGCUGUUCGCCAUUUAAAGUGGUACGCGAGCUGGGUUUAGAACGUCGUGAGACAGUUCGGUCCCUAUCUGCCGUGGGCGCUGGAGAAUUGAGGGGGGCUGCUCCUAGUACGAGAGGACCGGAGUGGACGCAUCACUGGUGUUCGGGUUGUCAUGCCAAUGGCACUGCCCGGUAGCUAAAUGCGGAAGAGAUAAGUGCUGAAAGCAUCUAAGCACGAAACUUGCCCCGAGAUGAGUUCUCCCUGAGACUUUAAGUCUCCUGAAGGAACGUUAAAGACGAUGACGUUGAUAGGCCGGGUGUGUAAGCGCAGCGAUGCGUUGAGCUAACCGGUACUAAUGAACCGUGAGGCUUAACCUUACAACGCCGAAG